GAGCUAACUCCGAGCAUAUCGAUCGGUUUCUCUCUAAAUUUCCCCAUUCUUGGGACUGGGCAGCUAUUGAAGUAGAUGGGUUCUCAGUUUUUGGCUUGAUUACUUAGGGUGUCAUGAAGCGGUUCAAAAAGGCUGGAACUUCUCUCCUCAUGGGAACCCUAUGCAACCCUUUUCUCACUUUCUAUCUCAAUCUCUCUUCCAAAUCCGUGGUUGGAGUCACUAUGGAGUCAAUAGCAUCGAAUCAGAAAUUCUUAAAGUGGAGUCCAACAUUCACUCUUUCCUGAAUAGUGAUUUAGACCCUAACUCUCAAUAUUCUCUUACUAAUCUUUAUUCAAAGCUCGAAGCACUUCAAAGACAGAGUAACUCUAGAUGGGCGCAGCGUGCUCAUAUGUUGUGGCUUAUGAAUGGAGAUAAGAAUUUUAAGUUCUUUCACUAUAUUACUCAAUCUCUAACUCACUUUAACUCAAUUACUUAGGUCGUGAACCAAGAUGCUGCCAUCAUCACCAACCAACCUGACAUCCUCCUUACCUUCAGUACUUUCUAUUCCAAGCUUUGGACAACUUCCCCCGAGUAUGUCCAUAAUAUCUUGGAGCUUUUCUCGAUAACACCCCCAUGUUUUCUGAUGCCGACAGUUCGUUUCUUAUCCACGAGAUUACUAAAGAAGAGGUAUAUCUUACUAUUCUCAAUCUUCCCACUGGUAAGUCUCCCGCCCCUGACGGUUUUAAUAUCAAAUUUUAUCGUGCCUUUUGGCCUAUGAUCGGGGAUCUUCUCUUUUUAGCUGCAAAUAUUUUUUGAUAACUCUUUUUUGCCUCCAACUUGGGGUAAAAACUCUAUUGUCCUUAUCCCUAAAAUCGAUUGUCCCAAGAGAGUCUCUGAUUUCAAACCUAUCUCUCUUUGCAACGUCUGUUUCAAGAUUAUUACCAAGCUGCUUGCCAAUCGUUUAAAACAUGUUCUCCCUAAGUUAAUUGGUAAGGAGCAGGUUCGCUUUAUAUCUGAGCAAUGCACUUUUGAUAACAUUUUAGCAAUCCAAGAGGUUGUCCAUACUAUAGAGCAUGAUAUCAAUGGCCCUUCUAGGAUGUUAAUUAAACUUGAUAUUGAAAAGGCUUACGACACUAUUUCAUGGAAUGAAAUUCUUACCAUUUUGAAAAAAAUGAAUUUUUAUAACAAUUGGAUCUCUUGUAUUUCCACCUGUCUCAAAUCUAGUUCUUUUUCUAUCAUCAUUAAUGGUGUUGCUUCCCCGUGGUUCUCUUCUUCUAGAGGCGUGCAUCAAGGUGACCCCAUCUCCUUCCAUCUGUUUAUUGUAGUUUCCCAGAUUCUUACUACUCUUCUUAAUUCUGAACUCAGAAGAGGGAUAAUUCCUGGCUUUUGUUCGAAUUUGAAACAUAAUUUUAAUCAUCUCAUGUAUGCCGAUGAUUUAAUUUUAAUUAUGCACGCCACUAGAUCGGCUGCCAUAACUAUAGUCCGAUGUCUCAAUUUCUAUUCUUACAUCUUUGGUUAGCAGCCUAAUCAUGUUAAAUCUCAAGUUUUCUUCCCUUCUUAGUUUAAUGUCAGAGUCAAAUGUCACAUAUGUUCAAUCCUUAAUUUGCAACCUGCCUCCUUUCCCUUCAAAUAUCUUGGCAUAUUGAUUUCUCCAAACAUAAUGAAUGCUUCUACUUUUUCUCCCAUGGUGAAUAAAAUUAGAAGGUCUUGUAACAGCUGGAUUAAUUUCUCUCUUUCCUUAGCUACUAAGUCUAUUCUUAUUAAUACAUCUUUGCUAUCUAUUCCUAUAUAUACUCUCUCAGUCUAUCCUAUACCUCAAUCCAUUCUCUCUGAGAUUUCUACGGUUAUAAGAAAAUUCUUUUGGAGUAAAGAUGGCAAUAGAAAGGGCAUCCACUAUGUCGCCUAGUGUAACAUUACUAAAGGUAAGACUGAGGGGGGCCUUGGUAUCCAUGAUCUCUCUAUAGUUAGACACUCCCUUAUGCGAAAGAUAUUUUCAAGUAUCUAAAUAUGGAUGAUAUCUUUUGGGUGGAUAUUCUCUGUAAUAAAUAUGGUUCUUUUAAUUUCUGGAGAAACAAAACUCCCCCCAAAUGCUCUUGGUUCUUCUGGGGGCUUUGUCACUGGGCUGAUCAUCUUAAGCCUCAUUGCAAAAUAAUUUCAGUUAAUCCCUAGAAAACUUCCUUUCUUUGCGAUCCUUGGUGCUCUUGCAUUCCUAUUGCUUUAAUGCCUACAUUUAUUGACAUGUCAGUUGAUUUGGAUCAUAUUACUAUGGCUGAUGUUAUUCAAAAUGAUAAUUGGGAUUUCAACACUCAUAAUGGCCUCCUGGGCAAUAUCCUUAAGCUGGAUUCCAAUUAUCUUGGCAACAUUGAUCCUUCAUCCAAUAACCGUUGGGCUUGGUAUCCUUCCCCUUCCAGUCUGAAACUCUUUGCUCCUGUUUACAACAAGUUAAAUGAUAAUAUUCCCUGUAAUGAUUCUUGGACUGGUUGGAAAAACUAUGGACACUCAAGAUUGCCACUUGUGUUAAACAUUUUAUUUGGUUAAUAUUUAUGGGUAGACUCCCAAUGGUUGAUUACUUAUUUAGAUUAAAUCUCGGUUUGGACAUCCCUUGUGCUCUUUGUGGGCUUCAUCGUGAAACCAUUGAGCAUCUAUUUGUUUCUUGUCCUAAAAUUCAGACAGUUUGGCUUUUGAUUAGCAGGAAGGUUAAUCGGCACAUCUCUUUCCCAGAUAACUUCGCUUCUGGGUCUUAGCUUACUAGCUACAAUCAUUCCCAUUUUGUUGUUUCUCUUAUUGCAACAAGUGUUUGGUUCUAUUGGAAGAACAGGUGUGAUGUUAUUUUUAUAAAUGCUCAACUGUGUGGCUCUAAUGUUGUGUGUAAAGCUUUGGCUCAUAUUAAUGAUUUUAAUAUCCGUAAUCAUAAUCUCCUUAGCCAGAAGCUUAUUUGCAACAACUUUUCUUCGGAUGAUGUGCAAUUCCUAUUCAUAUUUAUACCCAAUUUUAGAGUUCUAGGUAUGUAUCUUCAGCUGGUUUCUUUGUAUCUAAUGCUAAUUCUAUUGUUUCUUUUGUAGGAUGUUUCUCUGGUCCUACAAAUAAUGUCUUCAAUGGAGAUCUGAUCGCUCUAGACGUUGCGUUACACUUUACCUUGGAAGAGGAACACUCUGAUCAAGCAUGUCUUCAUCAAUAGUUGCACCACCAUUAGCGCUCUGAACAAUGCUCAUUCACCCAUAUCUUUGAGAUUUGAUGAUGCUAUCUCCAACACCAAGUUUUUAAUGAAUAUGAAUGGCAAUCCUUCACUUCACAUCACACCUCCGAAUUGGUUGGGCCCAACGAUUAGCCUUGCUACUAUCAGCCUUAAUCAUCAUGCAUUGAAUCUAUUUCUUUCAAAACAAGAACUUAAUUAUUGGAUCAUGAAAAAUUUUACUGUUGCCGGUUUCCAUUUCUAUUAAUGCUUUUGUUCCCCAAGUUUCUUUCCAUUUUUGGUUUCAGGUUUCCUUGUACCUUUUAGUAGUCCCCUUUAGCUUUGUAUUCUUCUUCAUUCAAUAAAUUAGCCUUUGCUGAGUUUUUUUU